rnacentral:rRNA from 1 species
AAUCAAGCGUUUAAGGGCGUGUGGCGGAUGCCUUGGCACUGAAAGCCGAAGAAGGACGUGAUAUACUGCGAUAAGUUUCGGGGAGCUGUAUGUAAGUUUUGAUCCGAAAAUUUCCGAAUGGGGAAACCCACCACUUUAUGUGGUACUUUAAAUUGAAUACAUAAGUUUAAAGAGACAACCUGGAGAACUGAAACAUCUAAGUAACCAGAGGAAAAGAAAUCAAUUGAGAUUCCGUUAGUAGUGGCGAGCGAAACCGGAUUAGGCCAGCAGUUUUAAUAAAAAAAUUUGAAUAGUUUGGAAAAGCUAACCAUAGAGGGUGAUAGUCCCGUAUAAGUAAUGUUUAUUAAAAUUCAUGAGUAAAGCGGGA